GGAAUAGGACGUGUGGUUCUAUUUUGUUGGUUUCUAGGACCGCCGUAAUGAUUAAUAGGGACAGUCGGGGGCAUCAGUAUUCAAUUGUCAGAGGUGAAAUUCUUGGAUUUACUGAAGACUAACUACUGCGAAAGCAUUUGCCAAGGAUGUUUUCAUUAAUCAGGAACGAAAGUUAGGGGAUCGAAGACGAUCAGAUACCGUCGUAGUCUUAACCAUAAACUAUGCCGACUAGGGAUCGGACGAUGUUAUUUUUUGACGCGUUCGGCACCUUACGAGAAAUCAAAGUGCUUGGGCUCCAGGGGGAGUAUGGUCGCGAGGCUAAAACUUAAAGAAAUUGACGGAAGGGCACCACCAGGGGUGGAGCCUGCGGCUUAAUUUGGCUCAACACGGGGAAACUCACCAGGUCCAGACACAAUGAGGAUUGACAGAUUGAGAGCUCUUUCUUGAUUUUGUGGGUGGUGGUGCAUGGCCGUUCUUAGUUGGUGGAGUGAUUUGUCUGCUUAAUUGCGAUAGCGAACGAGACCUUAACCUGCUAAAUAGCCCGUAUUGCUUUGGCAGUACGCUGGCUUCUUAGAGGGACUAUCGGCUCAAGCCGAUGGAAGUUUGAGGCAAUAACAGGUCUGUGAUGCCCUUAGAUGUUCUGGGCCGCACGCGCGCUACACUGACGGAGCCAGCGAGUACUCCCUUGGCCGGAAGGCCCGGGUAAUCUGUAUUGAU
rnacentral:rRNA from 1 species